CUUUGGUACUUACAACUCGGAGUAGUUCUAACCAGGGAUAACUUGGUUAAACUGAACUGGCAAGGCAGUAAAAAUUGGUGCUUUUGUUACAAAGAUGAGACUAUUCGACACCUUUUCUUUGAAUGUUUCUUUGCACGGGCCAUUUGGUUUAUUAUACAAGCGGCUUUAGGGUUGUCUCCCGGAAUGAUGGUCCCUAAUUUUUUGGCUCCCACGGCCAACUAA
rnacentral:rRNA from 1 species